rnacentral:lncRNA from 1 species
AUGAGCAUAACAAGGAUAUACCCAAUAAAUUCUCCACCUGCCCUAUUUGUACCAGAUGCUCCUUUUUCUGUAUUGUCAGAAAGAGCAUCCUGUGCAAAAGAGGUUGGUGGAGGCAAAAUACCACAUCUAGAAGAACAAGAGGAGACAAAUACUCAGGUUUCUUUUGGUAUGAGGAUGAAAUAUUUCUCUGAUGUCAGUUUCACUUCUGAAGUUCUACGUCUCAGGAUGUAUUUUCUCACUUCAUCGUAGGUUGGAUGAGGCAUAUUCUAUAAGAACAUGACUAAUCUGGAAACAUGUUUUACGUGACUGCACAUAUAUACCCUAUAAUAAAAUUGCUUACCAUCUCGAGGAAGGAAGAGAA